GUGUUGUAAAGGACUGUGAUAACAAACAAUGGACAGUGAAUGCUAUUGGUGGGCUUUUUAUUUGACAGUUGAAACUACGAAUCAGUACAGCUUUAGCGUCAUCUGAAAGUAGUUCCGCCAAAGGAAAUAGAAGUGCGUUGCAUCAGAAAGUUUAGUGCGGAGCUAAUGAGUGUUCUCCAAAAGUUUAUUUCAAGUUUGUGCGUGCAGCUAGAAAACCACACAUACUCACAUAUCUACAGUGGAGAAUAAAAAUUGAAGAAGAAACAUCAGAGUCCUUGCAUUCUAACCGGAUGUGCCAUAGUGAUUGCAAACCUUUACUAACCAGCCCCAAAUGAAUACUUCACAACAUAUGGUCCUUCGAGCCGGAUUGCAAUUGCUGUGGAAUUUAUGAAAAUGUCUUCUGACCAAAGGAGUAGAGAAAGAAGGCCUGCUGAUGUGCGUCCUAAACGACAAGUGCGACCACCAGCCUGGUUGGAAGAUUAUGAUGUUUCUCUCCCGCACUAUGAUGAACCUUCACCUGUUGUUCAAACCGCGCCUCUCACCACAGAGGAACAGGAGCCUUAUCAUCGUAUUGAGAGGGUAGCCGAGAUGACCCCCCUCACUCAUCACACACUUCGACACUUCGACACUUCAACUGGACUCAGGCAGAAGCCGUUUACCCAUUCUGGCCAGGUGGAACAGAUGUAUAAGAGCACACCUGUACCUCACCACAGUGUAUCAGGGGAUGUAUCCUCAGAGAUAUUGGAGGCUAUUCAACAGCUCAAGAUGGAGAAUCAGAAACUACAGUCUACAGUUUUAGACAUGCAACGAGAAAUGCGAGGUGAUACUGUGGUUCCAUUGCACCAUAGGUCAGUGCCACCAUCACAUGACAGAGCCCCUUCGCAACCAUGGCGGCUACCUCGUGCCAACCUGCCAUACUCAGAGCAGCCAACUGAUAGUUACCAAAUUCAGCCUCACAGUAAAUCGACAUGGGAUGUUAGUAGAGCCCCUAUACCACACAAAGAGGAGGAUUGGCCACCCCCACCUCCACCAGUAGCUGAUGAUGUCCCACUUCCUCGAACUGCAGUGAAUAAACCACUACCUCCACCUCCAACAGCAGCUAUCCCAGACUUAGUGGAGGAAUUAACUGCAUGUUUGCGUAGACUAGGCAGGACAUCACACCCACCUUCGUGUCCAGCGACGCCUGAGUACUUUGAACCAGAUGAUGGUUCUUCAGUGGCAUCUGAUGCGCAGAGGUCACAUGACAUUGAUAGACA
ensembl:lncRNA